CAGCUGACCAAGGCUGGGCUGACCCACCCUUUCCCCUUCCAGAGCCAAUCUGGCAAAGCUGUGCUGGGGCUGCUCAGGUGUUUCCAGCUCCUCUGACCAGGCUGAGUACCUGCAGGCAGAAACGCAGUUCUGUGCUUUGUACACGCUUGCAAGAGAUUUGGUGUGAUUUCCAUCAUAUAUAGAAGAAGAAACUGAGAACCAGUGUUUUGACCAAAGCUAAUGGGAAUGGCAGAACAGCUUGACCUUCGGUAUGUCUGAUUCCUGUCCCCAGAGGAUAACUGUAUCAUUCCUUUGAGGAACCCUGGAGUCCAAGAGACUUAAGCUCUUGAGUCAUCUGGUACAAAUACCCUCUAAACAU